GAUGACAAUAUAGUUUUAACAUCACAAAGUAUUUUAAAGGGGUUAUUAAGGAUAACUAGCAAAUUUAUAAAAAAAGGAGGUUAGUAACCAAAUGCCACAAAAUUAAAUUUAAAUUUUAAAUUUAAAUUUAAUUAACUAAUUGUGGCGAUCCUAAGGGAAACCUUUAUUAUUAUUACUUCCUGAAGUAAAUCAUUUCAGUAAGGAAAGGAAAGGAAAUCAACCGAGACUCCGAAAGUAAUGGUGAGUGAAAUCGGAUUAGCCUAAAUAAUUUCAUAAAUUGAAGAAACCAAAGAAGGUUAAAAGUCCUGUAAAUUUAUAAAAUUAUUUCUUUAUUUUAAACAUCUCUCUUAAUUAAAAUUAAUUUUUAAAUAAGAGUUAUAAUCUACCAAACCAAAUAUUUUGGAAUGGUUAACAAAGAUGAAUCUAAAAUAAAGUAAAAAAAAAAGUACGAUGAGAGAUAACUUGUCGGAAUAUAGGGGAACCAUCCUCUAAGGCUAAGUAAUAUAAAUUUAGCGAUAGUGAAAAGUACUGUAAAGGAAAGGUUGAAAUAGCAUGUUAUAGACAUAGUGAAAUAGUCUUGAAUUAGUAACUCUAUAAGCAGUCGAAAUUUAUAAAAUAAAUAAAUGACGGCGUACCUUUUGCAUAAUGGGUCAGCAAGUUAAUAGGAGUAGCAAGGUUUAAAGCCCUAGCGAAAGCGACUGGACUAACUAGCAAUAAUGGUUAAGACCUGAAAAAAUAAAAUUAAGUAGAAAAUGUAUAUUAUUUAUAUUGUAUUUUUAUAUUAUUUUAAUAUAAAAAGGGAUAAUGCCUUAUAGUCCUUGAAGUUAACAAUCUAUAGGUUUAUAACUUCCUAUAAGUUCAUUAUUUACUAGAAAUUAGUGUUGGAUAAGUUACUUCUAUUAGACCCGAAGCCAGGUGAUCUUCCCAAGACCAGAUUAUAAUGGAUCGAACGGGUGAAUGUUGCAUGAUUCUCCGAAGAGUUUUGGGAAGCGGUGAAAUGCCAAUCUGACCUGGUGAUAGCUGGUUUUCUACGAAACAUAUGUAAGUAUGACAUCUAUACAAAAUUUAUGGAGGUACAGCACUGAAUUCCAAAUAAAUUAUGCUAAUCUUUUUACCUUAAAAAGGGUUUAAAAAGUAAAGCGUAAUCAAUUUUUAGGUUGCGGGGACAAAGAAAUCCUACCGAUGGAAGAGAAUCUCGGAAUUACAUAAAUUGAUGGUAGAUAUUCAGACUGCUCAUGCUAAGUUGAGUAGUCAAGACGGAAACAGCCGAGAACACGUAUCAAGGUCCCAAAUGAUUAUUAAGUGAAAAUAAGGCAGUGGCAAGUUGAACACGGCUGUAAAGUGAGCUUGGAAGUAGCUAUCUUUUAGAGAACGUACAAAGUAACAACGUAACAGCUAGUAGAUUGUUGCACCGAAAAUUCAACGGGUCUAAAUAAUCAACCGAUAUUGUGUUGGUUAUGAAUAAAAAAUUUUUUUAAUCAUAAUCUAGGUAGUAGAACAUUCAGUAAAACUUAAGAUAAAACAGUGUUUCAUUGUUUUUAGGUAACUGAAGAGAUAAUGCUGACAUGAGUAACGUAAAAAGAAGUUAUAAUACUUCUCGCCGAAUACGAAAGGGUUGUAAGGAAAGGUUAAACCGCCUUAUGUUAUUGCGGCCUCUAAGGUUCAAAACCAAUGUUUUGGCUGAUGAGUAUUUAGCCUAAAGUCCAUUUUACAAAAUUUAUAUCUAAUAUAGUUAAAAGCUUAUUAGAUUUUGGGACCAGGAAAAUAAAGCUAAUAUUACUACCGUACCCUAAACCGACACAGGUUCGUAGGUAGAGAAUACUAAGGCGUAGAGCUAAAAGUUGUUAAGGAACUCGGCAAGUUCUCCUUCUAAGUUAGACGAUAAGAGGAACCAGUAAAUUAUAUUUUUAAUUUAACUGGUGGCACAGAAUCAGAGGCCCCGACUGUUUACUAAAAACACAAUUCAGAGCAAUGAUUAAUAUCAUAGUAUUCUGGAUGAAAUUUGCUCAAUGCCAUUAACACAAGAGAGGUGAUGGGAUGACUGUUACUAAUCGAACGUCUGGUGAAUAGCGGUCUUAACUAUGAGGAUCCUAAGGUAGCAAAAUCAGUUGGCCAUUAAAUGUGGUCCGGUAUCAGUAGUGUAACGAUGGUCUCACUGUCUCUACAACUUGCUCAGUGAAAUUGAAUUACCCGUGAAGAUGCGGGUUGCCUCCAGGUGGACGGGAAGACCCUAUGCAGCUUUACUGUUGUUAGUUAUCAUGUUAAUCUAGAACAACCUUGGUCCUAGUGAUUAGGGAUGUCGAUAGACGAAAGGUGGAAUACCUCGAGACUAGGGUUGGGUUAAUAUUUACCUUAUACUUUAUAGGUAGAGGGAAAGGUGGCUAACUGGCAGUUUGACUGGGGCGGUCGCUUUUAAAAUAGUAUCAAAAUGCAUCCAAUGAUUUAAUAGGCCGGAAGGCUAAUAAUAUUAUUUCCUUACCUAGGAGGCAUAUCCGAACAGUAUGGAAACUAAUAUCCAGACAUAAAUAAUCAAGCGAAUUGAUGAGUAUUUUUAAUACUUUAUUCAAGUCUUAGUUCUAACAGUUAGAACUAUUUAUUUUUUCACUUUUUAAAGGUAUAGCUAGAAAUUUGAAUGGAGGUCAAUCGACCAGUGAUAAAGGUCGUAAUGGUGCAAUGGCUUACAGCAUGCCUAACUGAAAGACUUAGGAGUCGCACAGAUACGUAAGUAGGGCAUAGUGACCCCUCGCUAUAAUAUGGGAUAGACGGGGAUCAAUCGAUAAAAGUUACGCUAGGGAUAACAGGCUGAUAGCUGGGGAGAGUACACAUUGUUCCAGCUGAUUGGCACCUCAACCUAUCCUCCUGGGGCAAAAGCUGGGAAGGGUUCGGCUGUUCGCCGAUUAAAAGGUUACGCGAGUUGGGUUUAAUACGACGUGAGUCAGUAUGGUCCCUAUCUUCUGGAGGGACAAAUAGUAAAAAGGGGAAGACCUUCUAGUACGAAAGGAUCAAUAGGCUGUGUUUCUCUAGUGUACCAAUUGUUGAAAUAAUCAUUACAGGAAGUAGGUGUCUAAUUAUUAAUCCGUUUUUAAAAAAGAAAUUUUUUAAGAGCUAUUAAAAUUUAAAGCUACUAACUUUUUAUUUUUAAGUAAGCAUAGUUGGGUAGCCACAAACAUAAUAGAUAAGCGCUGAAGGAAUCAAAGCAGGAAACUAGCCCCUAGAUACUAUCAUUAGAUAACUUAAUAUCUAUAGAGCCUAUGGCUUUUAGAUAUUAGGAUUACUCUAAUUUUAUAAGAAAUAGAACAUUUCUAGAUAGGAUGCGAAUGUAAGUACUGUAAAGUAUUAAGUUUAGCAUUACUAAUUUAGUAAACAGACUUUUUGUUAAAUAUUGU
rnacentral:rRNA from 1 species